AUUGAACGCUGGCGGCAGGCCUAACACAUGCAAGUCGAGCGGAUGAAGGGAGUUCGCGUCUGGAUUCAGCGGCCGACGGGCGAGUAAUUCCUAGGAAGCUGCUUGGUAGUGGGGGAUAACGCCCGGAAACGGGCGCUAAUACCGCAUACGUUCUGAGGGUGAAAGAGGGGGAUCUUCGGACCUCAUGCUAUUAGAUGAGCCGAGGUCGGAUUAGCUAGUUGGUGGGGUAAAGGCCUACCAAGGCGACGAUCCGUAACUGGUCUGAGAGGAUGAUCAGUCACACUGGAACUGAGACACGGUCCAGACUCCUACGGGAGGCAGCAGUGGGAAAUAUUGGACAAUGAGCGAAAGCCUACUCCAGCCAUGCCGCUUGUGUAAAGAAGGUCUUCGGAUUGUAAAGCACGUUAAGUUGGGAGAAAGGGCAGUAAGUUAAUACCUUGCUGUUUUGACGGUACCAACAGAAUAAGCACCGGCUAACUUCGUG
rnacentral:rRNA from 1 species